UACGGAGGGUGCAAGCGUUAUCCGGAUUCACUGGGUUUAAAGGGUGCGUAGGCGGGCAGGUAAGUCCGUGGUGAAAUCCUAUAGCUUAACUAUAGAACUGCCAUGGAUACUAUUUGUCUUGAAUAUCGUAGAGGUAAGCGGAAUAUGUCAUGUAGCGGUGAAAUGCUUAGAUAUGACAUAGAACACCUAUUGCGAAGGCAGCUUACUAUGCGAUUAUUGACGCUGAGGCACGAAAGCGUGGGUAGCAAAC
rnacentral:rRNA from 1 species